AUGCUAGGGCCGUAGCGGUGCGAAGUGGCUCACCGAGCGGCCUGCGUGGCGGGGACCGGACCGAGCCCGCCCAGUCCUGAGCGCAGCGCCUGCGGCUGCCGGCUACACCUGUCCCGCCGCGCGUCCGCCCCGCGCGGCGGACCGGGGGUGCUGCCGGGCACUAAGCUCAACGGGUUCUGUGCUGCAAGCGGCGGCUCGCGCCUGAGAGACCAGCGGCAGGAAGUGCGGGCAGCGGCCGGCCAGGUCCCCGGGGAGGCCGGGGCGCAGUGUGCACGCUCCCCCGCGCAGCUGGCGAGCCGCACGGCCCCCGCGGCACCUCCAUGCGCCCCUGGCCUGCUCGCGAGUCGCUGUCCUCUAGAGGGUUCAGCAAGACAGUUCCUCUUCCUCGGCCGCGAGCACGUGCGCGGGGGUGCGCGCGGAGGUCACGGUCACUGCGGGGCGCAGGGAAGGAGGCGCCGCGCCUGCAGGACCUCCCUUCGCCUGGACGCAAGCCGGCGAUUAGCCUGGUCCCCUAGGGCAUCGCCAGGGCUCCGGGGAACCUCUCCUGCGCAGGCUUGGCCCUGCCUCCUCCAAGCGUCCGAGUCUUUUUCGGCUUUUCGUGAGCCUCAGAGAGGGACGUUUCCUGCCAACGCUGCUGCGAAGGAAAGUUUGGGUGGCGUUAUCCCGACUGCCUUCCUCGCCAGCGCCGGCGAGCAGCUUGGGGACACAGCCGACGCCCGGGCAUCCUCCUCGACGACUCCCCGGAGCGCUCCCAGUUCAGACUUCUUUCUGAGCGGCGCGCAGAAGUGACAGCCCCGGAGCUUCGUUCCGGUGUGGGUGUGGGGAUGCCCCUCAAGGCAGGAGGGGAAGGCGCUCCACUUGAAGGGGGUACCCCGGGCCCGCGCCGACUCCUCCCGGCGCAGCCUUGGCUCGCCGGAGUCGCAGGUCGGAGGCGGGCGCCGCUGCCCGCCGACCAGCACCCUGGCGCCAAGGGCCUGGCUCCGCGCCUCACCCUUGGCUGCGCUGUGCGAGGGGCUCUAGCGCCCGCUGCGGCGCAGUCUCGUGAACCCCGCUCCAAUUUUUUCCUACGGAGGCGCAGAGAGUGAAUUCGCGCUCUCCCUCCCGACGCCCCGGCUUCUGGGAGCGUCAGAGCAACGGAAGUACGUACAGGAGGACGGAGAGCAGCAGGGAAGUUUGGCGGUGGGCUGGGGUCGGCGGCGAAGAUUCCCUGCCGUGCGCUGCCCCCUCGUGGCCGCUUUGCGUUCCCGUCGGGAAGGGCUGGGUUCCCGUCCAAGGGCCCAGCACAAACUAGGACUGGCGGGCGCUGCACAGCGAGUUCAGCCACGGCUAACAUCAGAAGAGUCGUGGAGGGGGCCCGCUUAUCGGCCAGCUUGUCCUUGUGGUUUGUGAAGUUGUAUGAUCUUUCUAUUAUUAUUCAGGAAAAAAGUAGUAUUUGUUGAGGCUAAAUGGCCAAGAGCUUGCUAUAUAUUAUUUAAUCCUCUAAAAAGCUCUGUGAGAUAAUUAUUUUAUUUAUUUAUAUUUACUUACAUAGCUUUAGACAGGAUCUCGUUGUCAGGCAGGCUAGAGUGUAGGGUGCGAUCACGGCUCACUGCAGCCUCAAACGCUUGGGCUCAAGUCAUCCUUUCACCUCAGCCUCCUGAAUAGUUGAAACUACAGGCACGCCACCAUGCCUGGCUGAAUUUUUAAUUCAAAUUUUUUGUAGCUAUGGGGUCUCCUUAUGUUGCCUAGGCUAGUCAAACUCCUGGGCUCAAGAGAUCCUCCAACCUCAUCCUCACAAAGUGCCGGGAGUACAGGUGCCAGCCACUGUGCCCAACCUGUGAUAAUUAUUUUAAACUCAUUUUACAAAUGAGGAAAGUGAUAUUCAUACUUGUAAAGCCAUUGGGGCUGAAUUUUCAUUUUUGCAUCCCCAGAACUAACACAUAAAGUUUACAUGCCAUUAGAAUGUAAGCUCUCUGUAAGCUACAGAUCUUUUCCACUGUAAUAUCCUUAGUGCCUAGGGCAGUGCCUAGCGUAUAGUAGGUGCUCAAUCAAUAUUUGUAGAAUGAAUGAAA